rnacentral:rRNA from 1 species
AGAGUUUGAUCCUGGCUCAGGAUGAACGCUGGCGGCGUGCCUAAUACAUGCAAGUCGAGCGAACGGACGAGAAGCUUGCUUCUCUGAUGUUAGCGGCGGACGGGUGAGUAACACGUGGAUAACCUACCUAUAAGACUGGGGUAACUUCGGGAAACCGGAGCUAAUACCGGAUAAUAUUUUGAACCGCAUGGUUCAAAAGUGAAAGGCGGUCUUGCUGUCACUUAUAGAUGGAUCCGCGCUGCAUUAGCUAGUUGGUAAGGUAACGGCUUACCAAGGCAACGAUGCAUAGCCGACCUGAGAGGGUGAUCGGCCACACUGGAACUGAGACACGGUCCAGACUCCUACGGGAGGCAGCAGUAGGGAAUCUUCCGCAAUGGGCGAAAGCCUGACGGAGCAACGCCGCGUGAGUGAUGAAGGUCUUCGGAUCGUAAAACUCUGUUAUUAGGGAAGAACAUAUGUGUAAGUAACUGUGCACAUCUUGACGGUACCUAAUCAGAAAGCCACGGCUAACUACGUGCCAGCAGCCGCGGUAAUACGUAGGUGGCAAGCGUUAUCCGGAAUUAUUGGGCGCAAAGCGCGCGUAGGCGGUUUUUUAAGUCUGAUGUGAAAGCCCACGGCUCAACCGUGGAGGGUCAUUGGAAACUGGAAAACUUGAGUGCAGAAGAGGAAAGUGGAAUUCCAUGUGUAGCGGUGAAAUGCGCAGAGAUAUGGAGGAACACCAGUGGCGAAGGCGACUUUCUGGUCUGUAACUGACGCUGAUGUGCGAAAGCGUGGGGAUCAAACAGGAUUAGAUACCCUGGUAGUCC